GAACACCCAAAUAGAGACAAAUCCACCAACUACAUGAAAGGUCAUGUCACCUACCUUCAUCAGUCCUGUCUUUAAUUCACUGGAAAACAUUAAGGGAAAGACCCUCAGACAUGUCAUAACAGGAUAAAGGCUGCAGACUCACCAAGGAUCCAUAUGAUUACUGGCAAUUUGGUGGAGGAUUUUUCUUUAGCUGCUAUCACUUCUGGUAUGCAUUCAUUGACCUUUUAUGAUUUGAUUUUACUCAAUUUAAUAAAAAUGUACACUACCGUUCAAAAGU